rnacentral:rRNA from 1 species
UACGAGAGGCCCAAACGUUAUUCGGAAUUACUGGGCUUAAAGAGUUCGUAGGCGGCAUGACAAGUAGGGUGUGAAAUCCCACGGCUCACCCGUGGAACUGCCCGGCAUACUGCGAUGCUAGAGUGUGGUAGGGGAGAGCGGAACUCCUGGUGGAGCGGUGAAAUGCGUAGAUAUCAGGAGGAACACCGGUGGCGAAGGCGGCUCUCUGGUCCACAACUGACGCUGAGGUGCGAAAGCUAGGGGAGCAAACGGG